ensembl:snRNA U1 U1 spliceosomal RNA
AAACAUGCAGACAGGAUACUGUAUACAUAAUAAGUAAAUCUCAUAAAAACCAAACCAUUUGGGAACUCGACUGCAUAAUUUGUGGUAGUGGGGGACUGUGUUCGCACUCUCCCCUG